GCCGGAGUGGCGGAAUGGCAGACGCAGGGGACUCAAAAUCCCCCGCCCUUAUCGGGCGUGUGGGUUCGACCCCCACCUCCGGCACCA
rnacentral:tRNA from 1 species